AUUUAUGUAGUUUAAUAAAACAUUGUAUUGAAGCUACAAAAUUAACUAUUGUUCGUAAAUA
rnacentral:tRNA from 1 species